GGCAGUUCCAAGGUGCCAUAGGAAGUGGCAGGGGAAACGAUUUGACAGCUGCCAAGACCCUCAGGGGUGCGGGGAGCUCCUGCGCGCGAGGCGGAAGUGAGCCAGGUUAGACCUGAAGGGAUCUGCAACUUCCACCUUGACUCCUGGGAAUACUUUCUUGGACUCAGCUGCCAUGCUGUGAGAAAGCCCAACCAGGCACAUGGAGAAGCCCAGGCAGAUGAGAACCAAGGCUCUCGGCCUCCCGCCCCAGCUGAGUUCCUCAGGCAGCAGCCAGCCAUGUUCUUGCCUUGUGCUCUGAAUAAUUGAAGAAGCCAGAUAAAUGACCUCGGGACAAGCAAAGUAUUCAAGAUGAUGAAAUCGAAGUCUACAGCUGAUGAGAAACAAGAAAUCUGAAAGGCGGAAUGUGGAUGAGCAACUCAGGCCAGCUCACUGCAGCACUUGUGAUAGCUGGCAGGAAUGGGAGAAGGAAAACAACAAGACAGAAAGGAGAACUCGAAUGGAAACAGCACAGCAUGACCUGGGGCCAUUCAGUGUCUGGGCAAA